GUGGGAGGCCCAUCCCAGCAGGUCAUGACCCCACAGGGAAGAGGCACUGUUGCAGCUGCUGCUGUUGCUGCUACUGCUAGCAUUGCAGGAGCCCCAACCCAGUACCCGCCAGGACGGGGAACUCCACCUCCACCUGUAGGCAUGCCCCCUCCAGGAAUGAGACUCCCUCCUCCAGGAAUUAGAGGCCCACCUCCCCCAGGAAUGCGUCCACCAAGACCCUAAGAUACAGUUGAUAAAUCUCAGCCCUUCUCUUUCCCUACAAUGCUGCUUGUGAAAUUGUGUAGCCUGCAAGCUUUUGACCCCUCUUACUGCAUUAACUAUAGAUAAUAAAUACAUAGCGCAAUUG
rnacentral:lncRNA from 1 species